CAGAGAUGCACAUCACCUAAUAUGCUUAAUUGGUAGUAGGCUUUCGAGCCUAUACAGCUUGGAGUAAGACAACAUGCAUGAAGAGGAUGAUGUGGACAAAAUACUCAUUUGCCUAAUAAUUCUGCACUCCCUGUAAACACCAAGCUCCUUUUUUUGUGUAGCUGACAGCUGGUAACUGUGCAGGGGCGGAUCUAGCAAAGCUUUUGCCAGGGGGCCAGGUAGGGCAUUAACAGAGAAAGGUGGACACAAAGAUAUACUUUUCUUUCUUACUCUCAUACAGGGAGUGCAGAAUUAUUAGGCAAGUUGUAUUUUUGAGGAAUAAUUUUAUUAUUGAACAACAACCAUGUUCUCAAUGAACCCAAAAA
ensembl:lncRNA